rnacentral:misc_RNA from 1 species
GUCAAAACAGCCCAAUUAGGGCGCUCAACUUCAAACCUGAUGGCAAUAUCCUUACACCCGGAUCACAAAUCAUUCUGGUUUGUUCAUUCGAGUUGAUUCCUAGUGAACUCAGUAGCAUACGCGUUAGGGUUUUAUCUGCUUCGCUCGCAACGGUAACAUCUUUCUGUCCCUUUCUCCACAUUCACAUUUAUAAUGUAAUUGCAGCUUUCUAAAUGUGAAAUUGAACUCUUUUGAAUGUUGCUUUGUGUUAAAUUUGGUUGCUUUCGAAAUUAUUUGAAUUGAAUGUCAUUGAAAUUUUACUAUUUCGCUUUGAUUUUGAUUUUUCUGUGAAAUUCUCUUUUAAUUUUCUCCGUUGAUAAAAGAUGUUAAUUUUGUGGGUUUGGAUCCGUGAAGUGUUUUCCUAUGAUUUUACGGAAUUAGGGAUAUCAUUGGGCCUUAUUAGAUGUUGAAAGCGAGGAAAGUUUCUGGAAGAGGAGAAACAGUAGGAGCAAAUUAUGCUUUUGGUCCUCUUGAAGAUGAUGUAAUCAUAAAGCAUAGGCUUCUCACCCGCACCACCACCACAAGGGGGGAGCCCCCAUUAAAGAAGCUUCAGAAGAAGUUCACCUCAUUUGUUGUUGAGAUUGAGAAAGAUGAAGAUAAUUAUAAUGACUGCUUGAGGCUUUCCAAAGCCUUCUUGCAGGAGCUUUCUACCUUUGAGAUUCCACUCCUCAAGAGCAAAGCAGUUAUUGAUUCAAACCGAAGAGAGAAGGAGAAUUUUAAUGAGUUGAUGGAUGAGAUAAAUAGUCAGAUUUCACAGGCACAAUCUGAUAUUGAAGAUUUGAAGAAGCAGCUUGAGGCUAGUAAAAUUGAAAGGCAGCACAAGGAAGAGUGUGAGGCGAUCAGAAAAUUGAUUGCUAUGCAGCCACCAAGGUCGGAGACACAGAAAAUUAUACAAGACUUAGAGAAAGAGAUUGCAGCAUUGGAGGCAGAGAACACAGCUGGUUCAAGGUUACUGGAGCUUCGUAAAAAACAGUUUGCUCUUUUGUUGCACGUGGUAUGUUGCAUUUUUAUUUUUUGCUUUUAUCAAUUUUCAAUUUCCUUGGUUAUUGUGAUAGAUUUUGUGUUUCGCUUAUGAAUUGAAAAUCUUUUCUGCUUUAUCAUUUGGAUCAGAUCAUCAGAUUACUUGUUUUCUGUCAUUUUAGGAUUUUUAUAGCAUCUUGAUCAUGACUCCUUAUUUUUGUAUAACUACUUUGCAUUACACUCCUGAGCACAGGCCUCAGUUUCUUAAUUUUUGCGCCUCUUUUGGCCAAUCAUAUUUUCUUUUGUUUUGGCCCUUGGACUCAUUACAGAAGUUUGGUAUCUCGACAGAAUUAAGAGAUACCCGUUAGAACUACAGCUAAAUGCAAGAGGGCUCUAAUGUCACUGCAGAAGCUGAGUCAAUAAUAAAUUGGAGCUUGGGAUUCUAUCUGGAUUCUUAAUGGGUUGUUUGCAAAUGUGCAUGCCAUCUUUUUAAACCAUUGAUAGUAAAGGAGCAUGAAUUGGAUUAAAGUAUUCUGGGUGCAAUUGAACAGAUAUUCCCCCUUUGUUUCAUUUUUGCUUUAGUCUUUUUGUUGAAAAAGAUGAAUUUUUUUUUCUCAAAUAACUUUUAGUCCAUGUGUCAGCAGCAUGUCCUGGAGAACUUUUUUUUUUUUUUGAAGAAAAAGUGUGUAAGAAAUUUACCUGUAUCUUAUUAAUUGAUGUUGCAAGUGUUAUUGUCAAUCCAUGACUCUUGCAUAUAUUAAUUUAAAUGAGCUGUCUUAUUGAUAUACUUUUGAACAUUUGUAUUUGGAUUUGUCUUAACAUGGCAAUAAUGUAUUUAGAAUGCAAUAUCUCCACUUGCUAAGCUACUUGUUAUAAAUUUGCUCCGCUUUUUGUCCCUGGUCAUUGUGUUUAACAUCUCUGCAGGUUGAUGAGUUGCAAAAUAAUAUAGAGGAAGAUCAGAAGAAUUUGAUGGAGGAGAUGAGAAUGGCAACGGAAGAACAGAAAAAUGGGAUGGAGGAUGCCAGUGGUGGCUCAGAAGCCAUGACUGUUGAUUAGUGACCUAUUUUGUCCAUCUUGCAAUUGGAGAGUGUAUUUUUUUUAAAUAUCUUAGACGCAUAAAUUUUCUUUGCCGGUCCAAAACGAGAAGUGUAGUUGCAUAUAAGAGUUUUCCCCUACUGUUGUUACAUAUUAGCAACAUAUUGAAACUGAAAAUGUUCUAUAGCUGUUGUUCCUGCUUAUUCCAUAUCAAGUUGUUGGAAUUAUGAACUUUGCUAAAAAUCUGUAACCACCUCAGCUCACCACAAAAUUCCCAGGUUUUCCUUUGAUUUAUUCUUCUAUUAGAGUUUGCAAUGCUGUUCUUUCUACCAAUUUAUGAAUGCAUGACAUUGUUGAUAUUUGUGUAGCUGUCAAACCAACAAGGAAAGGAGGAGAGUUACUGACGAGGACAGGCAGUAAGUUCUAUAAGGUUUCUCUCUGCAAAUUCUCACCAUCUAUUUAAGUGGUAUUAGUAACUGUUGUUCUUAAAAUGUUGGUGAAAUGUGCAAAUGGAUUAAUUUCCUCAAGCUUUGAAUAAUGAGUUAAAUUCAGGGUUUGCUUUCUGUGGUGGAAAUGGAUGCAUUUACCCGUCCUGUCUUGGAGAUUAAGGUUUUGCAGGUCCUGGCCUUUCUACAAGGCAAAUUUUGUUUAGGCAUAUUCUCGUUAUUCUAAGGCAAAUGUUCCUGAAAUAUGGAACUUGAGUUCACCCUUAUAUUGGAGUAUGUUGCAAAAACUAAGCAAUGAUAUGGUUGAACCAGUGAAAAUUCGUAUGCUAUGCCACCCCAGAGAAUUGCACGGAGGUGUAUUUCUUCUACCACAAAUUUCAAACUCCUUUUGAUCAGAGUUUGGUUAUGUUUAGUUCUUGAUUCUUUGCUCUAUUUAUGGCUUUGAUUAGUGUAUCAAGCAUCUAAGCUCGGAUUAAAGCCGAUGUCUCUAAAAGGUUGAAUAUAAUUUUGAUUUAACUGAUAUGCUUUGAUUGUAAUAGGUGGUUUUAUAGAAAAAAGCAUAAAAAAGUCUUGCUGUAAGGGGAAUAAUCAGUUAGCUUGGAACCUUAUGCAUGCUUCUCCCUGGAAUAUUAGUUUAUGCAUUUUAUGCAUAUGAACAAAAGAUGACUACAGCAAACUUGUUACCCAACUUAUUGAGGAUUGAUUGAGGUCCAGGAAGUUAUGCAUAUUUGGAUUUGCACUUGGUAAGAGAAGUGUUGGCAAUUUCUGCAACAUCAGCUGAUGGCUGGAUGCUAACAAUUCAAGCUUUCACUAGUCAUGUUGGUGAUUCAUCUUUUUGGUAUAAGAGAUUCAGACAUUUUGGUUAUGGUUCAUAUAAAAUUGAUGCAAAGCAAGUGCCUUGUAAUUGAUAUGAUUAUUGAAUGUGAUAAUGGAGAUUUUGUGGUGUGUGCCAAUUGCCUUUAUGAGUAAAUCAGGCAUGGAGAGGCUAUGAGAAACUCAAAUAGUCCAUACUGAUGGAUGUGCACCAAUGAAGACCUCUUCCUUG